AAAAACAUAGUCUACUGAAUUUAAACUAUAGUAGAUAUUUUCUGCUCACUGAUCUUUUUUUAAAGAGCCGCAGUAUUUUAACUGUGCUAAGGUAGCAUAAUCAAUUGUCUAUUAAUUGUAGUCUAGAAUGAAUGGAAAAAAUGUAGUAAUAUUAUCAUUUUUGUUAUUUUAUCUAAUUUGCUCAUUAGGUGCAAAUACCUUCAAAAAUAUAAUAGACGAGAAGACCCUAAGAACUUUUUUAAAAUGUUUUUGUUGGGGCGACAUUGAAGCAUUUAAACCUUCAUAUUUUUUCAUGAUUUGCCGGGUCUUUCAAGUAAAAUUAAGUUACCUUAGGGAUAACAGCGUAAUUUUUUCAAAAGUUUGCGACCUCGAUGUUGGAUUAGGAACUUAUUAACUAACCGUAAUUAAAGAGAGUUCUGUUCGAACUAUUAUUUCCUACAUGAUCUGAGU
rnacentral:rRNA from 1 species